rnacentral:lncRNA from 1 species
UUUUCCAAAUGUUUCGUUAAGGGGUGUAUAUAUAUAUAUAUAUAUAUAUAUAUAUAUAUAUAUAUAUAUAUAUAUAUAUAUAUUGACGUGUCUAAAGGGGUCCGGCAAGUGAGACACAUAAAUUGUGUCGUUUAAUUAUUACAUUAAACUAUUUAAUUCUGGGAUUUCCAAUUUAUUUCAUUUUAUCCAAAUUAGGUAGAUUUGAUAUUAAUUUCAUUAUUCUGUAGUUGAUUUUUUUUCCUGAUUUGGAUGUUUCUAUAAAUCUAAACACUGUUUAUUGAAAACAACAACACAGGCGAGAAAUCGCAGAUAAAGAAGCGGUACAUGCACUUGACGGAAGAAAUACUGAAGGAGAAUCCGAACAUGUGCGCGUACAUGGCACCUUCUCUUGACGCGCGUCAGGACAUAGUUGUGGUGGAGGUCCCGAAGCUCGGGAAAGAAGCUGCACAGAAGGCCAUAAAAGAAUGGGGUCAGCCGAAAUCAAAGAUCACCCACCUCGUUUUCUGCACCACCAGCGGCGUCGAUAUGCCCGGCUGCGACUACCAGCUGACCAAACUCCUCGGCCUCCGCCCCUCCGUCAAACGUUUCAUGAUGUACCAGCAGGGCUGCUUCGCCGGCGGCACUGUUCUCCGCAUGGCCAAGGAUCUCGCCGAGAACAACGCCGGCGCUAGGGUUUUGGUUGUUUGCUCUGAAAUCACCGCCGUCACUUUCCGGGGACCCAACGGCAGCCACCUCGACAGCCUCGUCGGACAGGCUUUGUUCGGUGACGGCGCCGCCGCCGUCAUUGUCGGCUCCGACCCGGUGGUCGGAGUUGAGAGGCCGCUGUUCCAGCUCGUCUCGGCGGCGCAGACGCUUCUGCCGGACAGCCACGGCGCCAUCGACGGGCACCUCCGGGAAGUGGGUUUAACUUUCCACCUACUGAAAGAUGUUCCAGGCCUGAUUUCGAAGCACAUCGGAAAAAGCUUGAAGGAGGCGUUUGAUCCACUGGGAAUCUCCGACUGGAACUCCAUUUUCUGGAUAGCUCACCCCGGCGGUCCGGCGAUUCUUGACCAGGUGGAGUCAACUCUAGCACUCAAGCCGGAGAAACUCCGGUCGACAAGGCACGUGCUGAGCGAGUACGGGAACAUGUCGAGCGCGUGCGUGCUAUUCAUACUGGACGAAAUGAGGAAGUCAUCCGCCAAGGAGGGGAUGAGCACCACCGGAGAAGGGCUGAACUGGGGUGUGCUUUUCGGGUUCGGGCCGGGCCUGACGGUGGAGACGGUGGUUCUGCACAGCGUCGCUAUCAACUGAGAAGAAUGAGUGGUCCUGUUUUCUAGUUUAAAUGAAUAUGUUGUAUUAUUAAUUUAUUAUGCUUUUCAUUAUUCUCUAUUUUCUUUUUAUUUUUAUUUUUAUUUUUAUUUUUAUAUAUAUAUUUAUGUAUGAUAAUUUACUGGAUUGGGAGUGACUAGUCGAUAUUGGAAUAACAAAGAAUAACGCAUCAAUGUUUGUUAAGGUGUGGUAUAUUAUUUCGAGUAAAUUGCAAAUACUACCCCUGUGUUAUCUCGAAAUAGCAAAAACCCCCCUGUGAUAAAUAAACUAGCAAAAACCCCCCUGUGAAAUUUAGUCAAAGGCAGAAUCCCCCCUAGCUGAUUUUUUAGACUUGAAAUGACAAAAUUGUCCCUCAAAAUGUAUUUAUAUAUAUACAUAUUAUAUGUAUAUUUAUUAUUUUUAAUUUAUUUGUUUAGAAAUUAAAAAAAAUAGUAAACAACUAAAUUGAUUAUUUUUUAAAUAAAAUAAUUAAAAUAUUUAUAAAAUAUAAGAAUUUAUUAAUUGCAAGACUCCAGGGGUAUUUGUGUCUUUUUAUAUCAAGUCAACCCUCAAAUAGUUCCAUAGGGGGGUUUUUGCUAUUUAAAUAAUUUCACAGGGGGGGUUUUGCUAGUUUAUUUAUCACAGGGGGGUUUUUGCUAUUUCAAGAUUACACAUGGGUAGUUUUUGCAGUUUACUCAUAUUAUUUCACCUGGAUUUGGAUUUUAUUUACUAUCUUAUAUUAUUGGAAAAUGGAUUUCUUGUGACAUGGUUUAGUUUUUAUUUAUGGCAAAAUUACAGUUUUCAACCCAUGUUUGCACAAAUUUUACAUUUGGUCCUCUAUAUUCACAGAAAAAUACAUUUGGUUGCUUAUAUUUCAGAAAUUCAACAUUUUUAGCGUUUCGUCAAUUUUCUGUUAAAACUAGCGGAAUCAAGUGUGUUCCCAUCACUACCUUAACUAACGGUAAAUGGUACAGUUCUCAUCCCUCAAGUUUGUACGGAUUUCACAUUUGGUCCUCAAUGUCCAUAAAAAACACACUUUGUCCAUCAUAUAUCAAAAAUUUAACACUUUUAGUCAUUUCCGUCAAUUUUCCGUUAGUACUAACGGAAUCAAGUUUGUGCCCGUCACUGUCUUAACUGAUGAAUUAACAGUAAAUUGACGGAAAUGACCAAAAGUGUUGAAGGGGUUAGUGCAAAUUGAGGAGUGAAAACUGUAAUUUUCCCUUUUUAUUAUUUAUACCUUUUAACCAAUUGGUUCACACAAAAAAAAUCAUUUAUCUGAACAACUUCAAAUCCCUUUUAAUAACAAAAAUUAUCCUCAAAUCUUAAAUUUACAGAAAUCUCUUUAAUUUAACAAAUUGAGAAAUUUUAACCACUAGCUGUAAGCCUGUAACAAUUAUAAGAAAUUUGUACACUAAUAUUUCUGCGUUGACCAGUCAAUUAAUGCAGAGUGUUAUUGUCAUUGAACAUAAUAUAUUUUAAAGUUUUAUCUUCUCUUUUUUUUUUUUUUUUUCCUUUUUUUAUGUUCUUCCGAAAUACAAGACAAUGUUUUAGAUUAUUUUUUCUCACUGUUUUUCCAAUAUAAAUUAAGCUUUUCAAAGAGAAUUCCCAAAAUAAAAGUAUAUAUGGCUGUGAGAUUUAAUUUCGUCAAGGAAUAUACUUGACUCAAUAUAUUAAUUAAUUUGAAAAAAAUGAUUUAAUUUUGUUAAUGGAAGAGUAAAAGAAUUAAGGAUCAAGGAAUCUUUCAACUCUUUUGUUACUACUCCAAUUAUUGUACUAAAGAUGCCAUGUGAGAUGUCCUAAUAUAAGGAUUGGCGUUCUUGUCUCUUUGUUCGCGAUUGCAAAUUAAUUAUAUUUUGAGGAUUAAUAUUCCAUUGAGAUUAUACUCUGGAAAUGAAGUGGAUUAUGCAUUCUAUACACACACACACACACACAUACACACACACACACACACACACACCGGGUGAGGAGCACUGUGCAGUGUACGGUGCCGGUGCCCUGUUUACAUAUUUGCAAAAUGUGUUUUAUUUAUGCUGGCGUGAAUUUGAAGGGGUUGAUGAUACGCUACAUGUGACGCGUCAAAGUUGCCCCCAUAUCCUAAUCAAAAUUAGAAGACUGAAUAUAAGUGUCACAUUAAAACAGAGCAUUAUAUAAGGUGAGACGGGUUAUGAAAUAAGAAUAAUAUUGAUAUGUAAAAAGGUAAAAGACCAAAAAAUAUAUUUAUUAAUGAUACAGAAGUGAUGUUAUACAAGCUAGUAUUCUAUGAUAUGCAGUGUUCUAAAUAUCGGUCGUGGCGGCCGAUAUAUCGGCCGCCAUAUCGGUGGCGGACAUAAACCUUUACGAUAUAUGUGUGGCGGUUUUGAAAAUCGGUUUUUGGACGGUGAGGCGGUCCGAGGCGGUAUGUGGCGGUUUGUGGCGUGUCAAACCGAUAUAUUAGGUCAAACUUCGAACGAUAUAUCGGAAAAAUAUUUUUUUUAUUUUUUUUAUUUUUUUAUUAGAAGGAAAAUAGGGUGUUUAUUUUUUAUUUUUUUAUAUUUUUUAAUUAUAAUUCAUUAUCUCUUUCAAUCAAACCCAAAAUUACCGACCCCGUAAGAAGAACCUGACCUUGAAAAAAAAACACAAAACAAUCCACACACCGCGGCGGCAUUCUGUAUCUCACUAUUAUUAAACUUUUGUUAUGUGAUUAUAAUAUAUAAACGAUGAGGAGAGAAUCAUGUUCAAUUUUUUUUAUACGUUUUUAUGUAUUUACAAAUAAUAUUUAGAAAUAUAUUACACUAAAUUUAAAAACCGAUUUAUUUCCCAUAUAUCUCCGAUUAAUCACCGCCGCGCCGAUUUAUCGUGUAGCGGUUCCUAACCGCCUCGGACCCGAUAACCGAUAUUUAGAACCUUGAUGAUAUGUAAUGGAUAGAAUGUGCGUACGUGAUUAUUGCUGGACUCAAUUUUGCGAUGGAUGAUACUGAUUAGGAAGAGGAGAAUGCGGUUCUAGAUUGGCACACAAUGGCAUGCGGUGAAUAUUUGUUACGGCAUAUUGGUUGUAUAUAGUAUUAUCAACGUUACAUUUGUUAAUUUUUAUUUGCAUUAACAUAGCUGUAUUAAAAUAAUAUAGACAAAAUUUAGCCUGUGAUAAAUGUAUAAGACAAACUUUAGUUAGCUGAAAUUAGUGUUUGAAUAAGUGUAAAAAUAAGAGAGGUGCAGUGAUGAAGCAGGAGUUGAUAGAAAUAUAUCAUCACCUAAGCAGGUGACUAAGUCUAUUGUCAUUACAACAGGAAAGUCUUCUAUACAGUUGUGCCCUCUAGCUUUGCAACACUGUUCCAAAGUAUAUAAUAUAGGGACCAAACAUCGUAAAAUUUGAUCUUUUUUUGAUAUUUAAGAUUUAUUUUAACAUUUGAAUCGACAUAGAUAUGAAUGAACUGAAUCGUGAGAUUUCAAUCGUAAAUCAUAAGAUUUAUGCUCGGUAUUGCGAAUUUUCGUAAAUGUGGCGGAUAUUAUGGAUAGUGAAAGAGAGAUCCCCUUUGGGGUCAAAUUUACAAUUUGGGUGGAGAGGCGAGGAAGAUGGGAGCAAGUAUAGGGGUGAUUCUGCAAUUUUCAGAACUUUUUCAUCCAUGGAGGUGGACUUUCGGAAAUUUCAAUUUGACAUCCACUUGGGGGCAUCUCCGGUUGAAGGACCAAAAUUAAAGAUGAUAUAUAAUAUAGGGACCAAAACUGUAAUUAUCAAAAGUUUAUUAAAAUAAUAUAAUAAAUUAAAGUUUUCUUAAAUCGUAUAUCGUAAAAUUUGAUCGUUUUGUUGAUAUUUAAGAUUUAUUUUAACUUUUGAAUCGACUUAGGUAUGAACGAAUUGAAUCGUAAGAUUUGAAUCGUAAAUCAUAAGAUUUUAAACUCGGAUUGCGAAUUUUUGUCAAUCAGUAACACGCGAUUAUAGCUAAGGAGGAGUAGAAGCAUACUGCAUUGUAGGCGGAUAUUUCGGAUAUUAUAAGAAAGAUCCACUUUGGGGUUAAAUUGCAAUUUGAGUGGAGCGGUUGGGAAGAUGGAGUAAGUAUAGAGGUGAUUCUGCAAUUUUCAAAAUUAUUUCAGUUAGGAAGGUGGAUUUCUAGAAAGUACAAAUUGAGCCCCACUUGGGGUGCAUUUCUGGCUUAAGGACCAAAAAAAAAUGUAUAUAAUAUAGGGACCAAAAAUUGUAAAAUUUGAUCGAUUUGUUGAUAUUUAAGAUUUAUUUUAACAUUUGAGUCGACAUAAAUAUGAAUGAAUUGAAUCAUAAAUCAUAAGAUUUUAUGCCCGGCAUUGCGAAUUUUCGUAAAUGUGGUGGAUAUUUUGAAUAGUGAAAGAGAGUUCCACUUUGUGGUCAAAUUUGCAAUUUGGGCGGAGCGGCUCGGAAGAUGGAGUAAGUAUACGGGUGAUUCUGCAAUUCUCCGAAAUGUUUCAUCGAGGGAGGUGGAUUUUCGGAAAUUACAAAUUGACGUCCACUUAGGGGGCAUUUCCGGUUUAAGGACCAAAAUUAAAAAUGGUAUUUAACAUAUGGACCAAAACUGUAAUUAUCAAAAGUUUAUUAAAAAUAAUAUAAUAAAUUAAAAUUUUCUUAAAUCGUAAAUCGUAAAAUUUGAUCUUUUUGUUGAUAUUUGAGAUUUAUUUGAAUUUUGAAUCGACUUAGGUAUGAACGAAUUGAAUUGUAAGAUUUGAAUCGUAAAUCAAACGAUUUUAAACUUGGUAUUGCGAAUUUUUGUAAAUGAGUCACACGCGAUUGUAGCAGAGGAAGAGUAGAGACAUACUGCGUUGGUGGCGGAUAUUUCGGAUAUUGCAAGAGAGGUCCACUGGGAAGAUGGACUAAGUAUAGGGGUGAUUCUGCAAUUUUCAAAACUGUUUCACCUAGGGAGGUGGAUUUCUAGAAAUUACAAAUUGACCCCCACAUGGGGUGCAUUUCUGGCUUAAGGACCAAAAAAAAAUGUAUAUAAUAUAGGGACCAAAAAUCAUAAAAUUUGAUCAAUUUCUUGAUAUUUAAAAUUUAUUUUAACAUUUGAGUCGACAUAGAUAUGAAUGAAUUGAAUCAUAAAUCAUAAGAUUUUAUGCUUGGUAUUGCGAAUUUUCGUAAAUGUGGCAGAUAUUUUGAAUAGUGAAAGAGAGUUCCACUUUGGGGUCAAAUUUGCAAUUUGGGUGGAGCGGCUUGGAAGAUGGAGUAAGUAUACGGGUGAUUCGGCAAUUUUCAGAAAUAUUUCAUCGAGGGGGGUGGAAUUUUGGAAAUUACAAAUUGACGUCCACUUAGGGGGCAUUUCCGGUUUAAGGACCAAAAUUAAAAAUGGUAUUUAACAUAGGGACCAAAACUGAAAUUAUCAAAUGUUUAUUAAAAAUAAUAUAAUAAAUCAAAAAUUUUUUAAAUCGUAAAUCGUAAAAUUUGAUCAUUUUGUUGAUAUUUAAGAUUUAUUUGAACUUUUGAAUCGACUUAGGUAUGAACGAAUUGAAUUGUAAGAUUUGAAUCAUAAAUCAAACGAUUUUAAACUUGGUAUUGCGAAUUUUUGUAAAUGAGUCACACGCGAUUAUAGCAGAGGAGGAGUAGAGACAUAUUGCGUUGGUGGCGGAUAUUUCGGAUAUUGCAAGAGAGAUCCACUUUGGGUUAAAUUUGCAAUUUUGGGGGUCGGCUGGGAAGAUGGACUAAGUAUAGGGGUGAUUCUGCAAUUUUCAUAACUGUUUCACCCAGAGAGGUGGAUUUCUAGAAAUUACAAACUGACCCCCACUUGGGGUGUAUUUCUGGUUGAAGUACCAAACUUAAAAAAAAAAACUAUAUAAUAUAGGGACCAAAAACGUAAAAUUUGAUCAAUUUAUUGAUAUUUAAGAUUUAUUUAAUAUUUGAAUCCACAUAGAUAUGAAUGGAUUGAAUCGUAAAUCAUAAGAUUUUCUGCUCGGUAUUGCGAAUUUUUCGUAAAUGUGGCUGAUGUUUUGGAUAGUGAAAGAGAGAUCCACUUUGGGGUCAAAUUUGCAAUUUGGGUGGAGUUUAUAUGAAGAUGGAGUAUGUAUAGGGGUGAUUCUGUAAUUUUCAGAACCUUUUCAUCCAGGGAGGUGGAUUUUCGGAAAUUACAAAUUGACCUCAACGUGGGGGCAUUUCCGGUUUAAGGACCAAAAUAAAAAAUGGUAUAUAAUAUAGGGACCAAAACUGUAAUUAUCAAAAGUUAAUUAAAAAUAAUAUAAUAAAUUAAAGUUUUCCUAAAUCGUAAAUCGUAAAAUUUGAUCGUUUUGUUGAUAUUUAAGAUAUAAUUUAACUUUUGAAUCGACUUAGGUAUGAACGAAUUGAAUCGUAAGAUUUGAAUCGUAAAUCAUAAGAUUUUAAACUCGGUAUUGCAUUUCUUUGUAAAUGAGUCACACGCGAUUAUAGCUGAGGAGGAGUAGAAGCAUACUGUGUUGGUGGAGGAUAUUUCGGAUAUUGCAAGAGAGAUCCACUUUGGUGUUAAAUUUGUAAUUUGGGUGGAGCGGCUGAGAAGAUGUAGUAAGUGUAGGGGUGAUUCUGCAAUUUUCAAAACUGUUUCAGUCAGAGAGGUGGCUUUCCAGAAAUUACAAAUGGACCCCCACUUGGGGUGCAUUUCUGGUUUAAGGACCAACAUUAAUAUAUAUAUAUAUAUAUAGACCAAAACUGUUAUUAUCCCAAAUUUAUUGUAAAUAAUAUAAUAAAUUAAAGUUUUCUUAAAUCGUAUACGGUAAAUUUUGAUCGUGUUGAAUUUAAAUGCUUAUCAAAGUCCACUCAUCUGUUGAGACAGACUACGUGUUACGACAUGACAUUAGGUGUGGUAACAGAAUUCUUGUGUUGUCACAGUAAUAAAUCUACUAAAAGCAGAAUAAAGAACACACGAAUUUAAUGUGGUUCGGAUACAAAUGUACCCUACAUCCACGAGGACUUGCAAAACUACUUCAGAUUUAAGUGUACAUUAAUAGGACUUAAUAAAACUCUAAAGACUCCCUCUUUAUGUGAUACGCUGUUCUUGCACACGACUCGAACUUGUUGAUAAUCAAAGCUGCUCCUCCGCACUCUUGGACUUCCUCCAAUGUUGAACUCCCUUCAAACGGCGGAUCGACCUCUCCCGAGAUCCUUUAAGCAUUUCUCCCGAAACGCCGAUCUUCUUUAUGGCCUGGUAGAAGAAACCUGUUUUGUUGCCACACCUGAUGUGCCGACAGGGCUGCAGCACGGGUCGCACCCUUCAAAGCCUUUAUGUUGGGAUUUUUCUUAUUAAAGUUCCAUGGGACUCAUAUGAGGUUGAGGGCCUUAUAUAGGCAGUAAAUGAGUUACACCCGAUUAUAACUGAGGAGAAGUCGAAACAUGUUGCAUUGAUGACAAAUAUUUCGGAUAAUGCAAGAGAGAUCCACUUUGGUAUCAAAUUUGCAAUUGCAACGUAGGCAACAUAAACUAUCGCCCCUCAAAAAACAAUAUAUUUUUAUUGAGCAACAAAUACUGGAAUAACCUACAUCAGAUAUCCUCAAAAAAACACAAUAUAUAUUAAAUAAUAAUAUUCCAUAAUUUAGAUAGAAUAAUUACCUGAGUGACGACAGUCCACUGAAUAUGUAGUGGAAGUUGAACAAAAUCAGCAAAUUCAGUCCCUAUUAAUAUUUGCACAAAACAUAAACACUUAUUAUAAUUUACUAUCUACAUUUCAAGCACAGCAUCCUAAUAUAAUUUACACUGCAUUUCAAAAGCACAAUGAAUGAUUGAUCGUGCAAGUUAAAAGAAAAUCCCAAAUUGAUUAACAUAAACUUAUAACUACGAUCAUACUCUCGUUAUCUUAAGUAUUGAAUUCAUAUAUUUGAUGUGAAGUAUAAUUAAAUACUCUGAAAUAUGCACAUUUUGAGGUACCUAAAAUGAAAACUAAAUCUCCUCAAAAAAAAAAAAAAUGAAAACUAAAUAAAGUCGGACCGCAAGUACAGUAAUUAUUACAAUUUCACUUUUGUAGUAACUUUUUUGUAAUGUGAGAAGAUUGGUAAAAACGUGUUACUUUUAAGAAACGACCACGCUGAAUUUGUUAAUUAACGGGAUGAAUUUCUGCAGCACAAGUAAUGAAAUGUACUAAUUAUUAAUUAAUAAUUCACUAAUUAGUCCUGCUAAUUGCCUAAUUCUACCUCUAAACAGGCUAAACAGUUUAAUAGAUCCACUUUUUAUUUUUCUUACUUAUGUUUAGUAGGGGUGUUCAUUCGGGAAAUACUGCCGAACUGACUGAAAUUUCGGUGUUUCGGUAAUUCAAAUAUUUGUACUGUUUACCGUACCAAAUCCUUGGGUUAGUUCGAUUUUUUACCUAAUUCAUUCGAUUUUUUCGGUUCGGUACGCAUAAAACCGAAAAUCUAUUAUAAUAUAUAAAAGGAAAAAAUAUUAAAACUAAUUAAUUCUUGAAUUUGACAUUUAAAUUUCAAUAAUCGGCCCUAAAAGCGAAAGGUGAUUAUCAAUUGAGGCUAAUUUGUAAAUAAAAGAAAAGAUUAUCAGUCUAAAAGUUUCUUUUUUAUAUAUAAUUUUUUAUAACCUUAAAGAAUUAAAAAAAAAUACAUAUUUACUAAAUAUUUCAGUAUUCGGUACGGUACAGUACACCGAGCAUCAAUACCAUAUACCGCGCGUGCCAUACAGUGGCGAGUCCAGGAAUUCGGUACAGGGUGGGCUUCAAUUUUCGGGAGUUCGGGGGCAGCGCCCCCGAGAUUUUUUAGGAUUUUUUAAAAUAGGAAAAGGAGAAACGGAAAAUAAAACAAGAAAAAAAAAAAGAAAAAAAAAAUUUAGAGUUUUUUUGCAUUAAUUUGGAUUUUGGUUGGGCUAAUUGCUAAUUAAUAAAAUUUGGGACUUUUUUUGUAUUAAUCUGAAUUUUGGGUGGGCUGAUUAAUAAAAUAUAGGGCUUCCUUUGCAUUAAUUGAAAUUUUGGGUGGACUAAUUAAUUAAAUUUGGGCGGGCUAAAUAGAAAUAUAGUAUAAUAUAUGAGAGAAAUUGCAAAAUGAGGGUGGGCUCGAGUCCACCCUUGCCUAAGGGUGGACUCGCCCCAGGUGCCACAUAUCAUAAUUUAAAAAAAAUACUUACCGAAUACCGAACUGAAUUUGGCACGUAAUGAAUUUUCGAUUUGGCACAUACCUAAUUUUCAAUUCGGUUUUCUUCGGCCAGUUUACCUGCUGAAUGAACACUCCUAUAUGUAUACUAUUGAACGAUUAGGAUUAUUGUACUUUAUUUUAUUAAUUAAUUUCUCGUUUACAUGGGUACCCAAAAUUUGAUUCACUCUUAAUCUUUGAUCUAUAAAAUGGUUGGUUGUUUUUGUUAAAGAUAUAUUUAUUAAUUUAGUGCAACACACUUGCAAUUUCAAUUAAACAGUACAUAUUUCAUGCAUGAUUAAAUAUUUUUUUUAUUAGUUUAUUUACAAACAUAAAAAUUUUAUUGGAUACUUAUAUUUGUUUUUAUAUUACAAAGGAGUGAAAUAUGAGUUACUAAGUAGGGGUUGUCUAGGGGUUAUACUUCUCGGACCGUAAAAUAUUAAAUUUGGUGCGUAUAAAAUAAUUAAAAUUUAAUUUCAAGCAUCGACUUUUUGUACAACCUAGUACGAUACUAAAGAUUUGAAAAUUAAUGUACGAAUCAAAAUCAAUGGAGAAGUCUCAAAAUCAAAAGCAAAAGGAUCUUCUUCACUUGCAACUCCUAGUUGGUAAAGAUUCCAAAGAAAACGUAGGGGGAACCCUACAAUGGUGGAUUCAGGAAUACUUCCUACGUUCUCAUCUGGAACUUAACAAUAAUGAAUCUUCUCCUUUGGGUUGUUCUAAUACUGAAGAUGAACCCAAAGUGUGUGGAGGAACGAAAAAUACUGGUAGUCAAAGUGUUCGAAUAUAUGCCUUAGAGAAAAUAAGGUCCAUAAGAGGGGAAAGUACAACCACCGAGACUAGCUUUGAGAUGAUUUCUUGCUCCAAAGAAUUCUGCCGUAAACGGAAGAGUUAAUCGAUUGACAAAUGAACAAGAAAGGUGGAAAAAAGUUCAAUGUCAAUGAAGAUUAGGGUUUACAUUUUAAUGAAAAAGAAUUACAUUUUAACGAGAAGAAGAAGAAGAAAUAAAGAGUUUGAUCGUAUAUGUGGGGUUUUUGUUUCUUUUAAUAUCGGAUCAAUUACACUUAAUUUGAUAUAAAAUUUAAUUUGGUCUUGCCCUAAGUAACUUUUGCGAUUGCAUGUGACCGCCAACAUUAAAUUUGUAACAACCUAAAAUCUAAUAACGUAAAAAAUAAGGUAGUGAAAAAAAAAAAGAAAAAGGAAAACAAGAAUCACGCGGGCGACUAUUCUCCACCGUACUGCAAGUACUAAACAUUAAAUUCUUAUAAAAAAAAACCAACCAUCAUUAGGAGAGUUGAUACCUAACAUUACCAGUACGAUAACCAAAGGUCUAGAAGUCGAGUCCCCCUCCCUACUUCCCCUUAUAAUGGACUUGAAUGUACUUAAAAAAAAUCUUAAAAGUACUAAACAUUAACUAUUCACUCUAUUAAAAAAAAAAAAAAAAAAAAAAACAUGAAUCACAUGGGUGGCUAUUCACUCUAUUCAAAAAAAAAAAUAAGGAAAAUAUGAAUCACAUGGGUGGCUAUUCACUCUAUUCUCCGGAGCAAAUAGUUACAACUUUACUUAAUUGGGCCCGCAUGGUUGUAGUUCAAUUGGUUUUGGAGUUCGGAGGGAAAACAUGAAUCACGCGUGGGUGACUAUUUACUCUACUCUCCACUGCAAGUAGUUACAACUUUAUUUAACCGGGCCCGCAUGGGUGUAGCUCAACUGGUUUCGGAGUUUGGAGGUGGUAAGUUGGUACAAGGUUCUAGGAUCGAACAAGUUUACUUAACCGAGCCCACAUGGGUGUAACUCAACUGGUUUCGAAGGUGGUAAGUUGGUACGAGGUCCCAGGAUCGAACAACUGUACUUAACCAGACCCGCAUGGGUGUAGCUCAGUUGGUUUCGGAGCUGGUAACUUGAUACGAGGUCCUAGGAUCGAAUCAUGCAUGGCAGCCGCAGUGUGAGAAUUGCAACUCUAAUGAGGGUUGGUUCCUUGUGGGCACCAGGUCCGAGUCUUACCUUAACGGGCCGUUGAGUUAUCAUAAUUUACAUUUCUCCAUCAACUACUUGUCGGACCAAGGGAUGGGGCGAAUGAUUUCGCCUUUUGGUACAAGCUUUACUUAACCGGAGAGCGUUCCUCCAUAUAAAUACCCCAAAAUACACUCUCCAUUUCUAUAACAACAACAAAACAAAAAUAUAUUUCAUUUAAUUUAAUUGAAACCAACAUUUUCUCCGGCGAAAAUGGCCAGCAUUGAGGAUAUUCGUCGGGCUCAACGGGCGGAGGGCCCUGCCACCAUCUUGGCCAUCGGAACCGCUACUCCGGCGAACUGUGUCAAACAGAGCGAGUACCCUGAUUUCUAUUUUCGCAUCACUGAUAGCGAACAUAUGACUGAGCUUAAAGAAAAAUUUAAGCGCAUGUGUAAGUUCUUAUUAUAUUCUAUUUUGUUACGUGUUGGUAAUUAUUUUAUUUUAUUUUAUCUUAUUUUAUUUCCAGGCGAGAAAUCGCAGAUAAAGAAGCGGUACAUGCACCUGACGGAAGAAAUACUGAAGGAGAACCCAAACAUGUGCGCGUACAUGGCACCUUCUCUAGACGCGCGUCAGGAUAUAGUUGUGGUGGAGGUCCCGAAGUUGGGGAAAGAAGCUGCCGAGAAGGCCAUACAAGAAUGGGGG